rnacentral:lncRNA from 1 species
ACAAAAUUUAUUCCACAUGCAACGGGACAGAGUACUUCAGUAGAACUCUAAUCCCAACUCUAAAAUCUCGAUUAUUUCAACACUUAUGUCUCAACUAACCUCAACUCUAACAUCUCAAACCUCUCAUUCCAACAGGACUGGGGCCCAGAGAGCAAAGCUCGACCAGGGACCUUACCUCCAGUCCGGUCACUUAACUCUCAGCCUUAGCCUUUUGGCUCUCUUAUCCAAUAAGACUGGCGCCCCGAGAGCAAAGCUCGACCAGGGACCUUACCUCCAGUCUGGUCACUUAAAUAUCCAAAUAAGAAAUCUAGUAGCCAUUCGGCUCUCUUAAUCCAAUAAGACUGGCGCCCCGAGAGCAAUGCUCGACCAGGGACCUUACCUUCAGUCUGGUCACUUAAAUAUCCAAAUAAGCCGGCGCCCCGAGAGCAAUGCUCGACCAGGGACCUUUACUCCGGCAACCACACUCUACUAAGCCCAGAGAGCGAUGCUCGACCAGGGCAGGUCCU